UACGUAGGGUGCAAGCGUUAAUCGGAAUUACUGGGCGUAAAGCGUGCGCAGGCGGUGAUGUAAGACAGAUGUGAAAUCCCCGGGCUUAACCUGGGAACUGCAUUUGUGACUGCAUGGCUGGAGUGCGGCAGAGGGGGAUGGAAUUCCGCGUGUAGCAGUGAAAUGCGUAGAUAUGCGGAGGAACACCGAUGGCGAAGGCAAUCCCCUGGGCCUGCACUGACGCUCAUGCACGAAAGCGUGGGAGCAAACAGG
rnacentral:rRNA from 1 species